GGGGGCGACUUGGCUUCGACGGCGGUCGCGAACUCCGACGUGCAUGCCGAGAGGGUAGUGACUCUCGUUAAUCAAUCGCUGCAACUUUUAUAGUUGCCAACGACGAAAACUACGCGCUAGCGGCGUAAGCCGCUUGUCUCGGGAAGACGGCGCCCGCAACGGCGACCCGAGGGCAAAGGCUUGCGGGAUAGCGCCGCCGAGUGCCUCCGGCGGCGGCGCGAAACUCAAGGAGGCUCGCCCAACGGCACCCCGACCGCCGGGUCGCCAACGGGCCAAAGCAAUAGGCGGCUCUAAGCAUGUAGAGCGAAAGACGGAGCACCGACGGACGCGGGUUCGACUCCCGCCGCCUCCACCA
rnacentral:tmRNA from 1 species